rnacentral:rRNA from 1 species
UGGGGAAUAUUGGACAAUGGGCGCAAGCCUGAUCCAGCCAUGUCGCGUGAGAGAUGAAGGCCCUAGGGUUGUAAAGCUCUUUCACCGGUGAAGAUAAUGACGGUAACCGGAGAAGAAGCCCCGGCUAACUUCGUGCCAGCAGCCGCGGUAAUACGAAGGGGGCUAGCGUUGUUCGGAUUUACUGGGCGUAAAGCGCACGUAGGCGGACUAUUAAGUCAGGGGUGAAAUCCCGGGGCUCAACCCCGGAACUGCCUUUGAUACUGGUAGUCUUGAGUUCGAGAGAGGUGAGUGGAAUUCCGAGUGUAGAGGUGAAAUUCGUAGAUAUUCGGAGGAACACCAGUGGCGAAGGCGGCUCACUGGCUCGAUACUGACGCUGAGGUGCGAAAGCGUGGGGAGCAAACAGG